CGGUGAAGAGUGGCGAACGGGUGAGUAAUACAUAAGUAACCUGGCAUCUACAGGGGGAUAACUGAUGGAAACGUCAGCUAAGACCGCAUAGGUGUAGAGAUCGCAUGAACUCUAUAUGAAAAGUGCUACGGGACUGGUAGAUGAUGGACUUAUGGCGCAUUAGCUGGUUGGUAGGGUAACGGCCUACCAAGGCGACGAUGCGUAGCCGACCUGAGAGGGUGACCGGCCACACUGGGACUGAGACACGGCCCAGACUCCUACGGGAGGCAGCAGUAGGGAAUUUUCGGCAAUGGGGGAAACCCUGACCGAGCAACGCCGCGUGAAGGAAGAAGUAAUUCGUUAUGUAAACUUCUGUCAUAGAGGAAGAACGGUGGAUAUAGGGAAUGAUAUCCAAGUGACGGUACUCUAUAAGAAAGCCACUGCUAACUACGUGCCAGCAGCCGCGGUAAUACGUAGGUGGCGAGCGUUAUCCGGAAUUAUUGGGCGUAAAGAGGGAGCAGGCGGCACUAAGGGUCUGUGGUGAAAGAUCGAAGCUUAACUUCGGUAAGCCAUGGAAACCGUAGAGCUAGAGUGUGUGAGAGGAUCGUGGAAUUCCAUGUGUAGCGGUGAAAUGCGUAGAUAUAUGGAGGAACACCAGUGGCGAAGGCGACGAUCUGGCGCAUAACUGACGCUCAGUCCCGAAAGCGUGGGGAGCAAAUAGGAUUAGAUACCCUAGUAGUCCACGCCGUANACGAUGAGUACUAAGUGUUGGGAGUCANAUCUCAGUGCUGCAGUUAACGCAAUAAGUACUCCGCCUGAGUAGUACGUUCGCAAGAAUGAAAC
rnacentral:rRNA from 1 species